GUCGAGAAUCUUUCACAAUGGGGGCAACCCUGAUGGAGCGACGCCGCGUGGAGGAUAAGGUCUUCGGAUUGUAAACUCCUGUCAUGCGUGAACAAGGUUGCUUGGUUAAUACCUGGGCAAAUUGAUGGUAACGCAAGAGGAAGAGACGGCUAACUCUGUGCCAGCAGCCGCGGUAAUACAGAGGUCUCAAGCGUUGUUCGGAAUCACUGGUCGUAAAGGGUGCGUAGGUGGCGUGGUAAGUCAGAUGUGAAAGGCCGGGGCUCAACCUCGGAACUGCAUCCGAUACUGCCAUGCUAGAGUACUGGAGAGGUGACUAGAAUUCUCGGUGUAGCAGUGAAAUGCGUAGAUAUCGAGAGGAAUACCAAAGGCGUAGGCAGGUCACUGGACAGUUACUGACACUGAGGCACGAAGGCCAGGGGAGCGAACGGGAUUAGAUACCCGAGUAGUCC
rnacentral:rRNA from 1 species